UUUGAUUUUAAUUAUUUUUAUUUUUUUUUAAAUUGUAUUUUAUUAAUAAUAUUUAAUUUUAUUAUUGAUUUGAAAUAAUUUUUUAAAUUAUAGUUUAUUAUUAUUGUGAAAGAAUUUUAUUUUUAAUUAAUUAAGAAAAAUUUAAUUUUUGUACCUUGUGUAUCAGGGUUUAUAGAAUUUUAUUAUUAGAUUUUGUUUUCCCGAAUUAAAGAGAGCUACGAUUAUAUUUAUUUAUUGUUAAAUAAAUAUGUUUUAUAUAAUUGUGGUAAUUAAAUGUUAUUCGUUCUUUAUAUAUCUGGUUUUAGAAGAAAUAAAUUUAAUUUAUUAUUUAUUUAAUAAAAUUUCUAUUUAAUGAUUUUUUAUUAUUAAAUAAAAAUGGUUAUUGGGAUAAGCUAGUAGCUUGAUUUUUAUAUUAAUUGUUUAUUAAUUAAUUUGUAGGAUUAGAAAUUUCCAUCUAUAGUUUGUAAUAAUUAAUUAAUUAUUUAAAUAAUUUGUUUUAUAUUAAUUUGUUUAUUUUAAUUUAAUAUUAAAUUUUCCUUUAUUAUUGAUAAUUAUAUAAUUAGUAAUUUUUAAUUUAUUAUUGUAUUUUAUUGUUAAGAUUAAUAUAAGGAAUUAGGCAAGUUUAAUUUUCGCCUGUUUAUUAAAAACAUGUCCUUUUGUUAUUGAUUUAAGGUCGGAUCUGCUCAAUGAGAUUUUAAUAGCCGCGGUAUAUUGACCGUGCAAAGGUAGCAUAAUCAUUAGUUUCUUAAUUAGGAACUGGAAUGAAUGAUUUGACGAGAAAUUAUCUGUCUCUUAUUAAUUUAUUGAAUUUUAUUUUAUAGUUAAAAAGCUAUAAUUAAAUAGAAAGACGAGAAGACCCUGUAGAGUUUAAUUAAUUAAGGUAAUUUAUUUUUAUUAUAUUUAUUUUGAUUAAUUUUGUUGGGGUGAUGAAAAGAUUAAUUUAACUUUUUUUUUAUUUUAAUAUUAGUUUAUAAAUUUUUGAUCCAGUAUUAAUGAUUAUAAGAUUAAAUUACCUUAGGGAUAACAGCGUAAUUUGUUUUGAAAGUUCUUAUUGAUAAAUGAGUUUGCGACCUCGAUGUUGGAUUAAAAUUAAUUUAUAGUGCAGUUGCUAUAAUAAUUAGGUCUGUUCGACCUUUAAAAUUUUACAUGAUCUGAGUUUAGACCGGCGUGAGCCAGGUUGGUUUCUAUCUUUUAUUUAUUAUUAUAUUUUAGUACGAAAGGACCAUUUAUAAGAUAAAAUAUUUUUAUUAUGAUUUAUAUUA
rnacentral:rRNA from 1 species